UGGCUCAGUCAGUAGAGCAUGUGAUUCUCAAUCUCAUGGUUGUGAGUUCAAGCCUCAC
rnacentral:tRNA from 1 species